rnacentral:rRNA from 1 species
UACAGAGGUCCCAAGCGUUGUUCGGAUUCAUUGGGCGUAAAGGGUGCGUAGGUGGCGCGGUAAGUCGGGUGUGAAAUCUCGGAGCUUAACUCCGAAAUUGCAUUCGAUACUGCCGUGCUCGAGGACUGGAGAGGAGACUGGAAUUCAUGGUGUAGCAGUGAAAUGCGUAGAGAUCAUGAGGAAGACCAGUGGCGAAGGCGGGUCUCUGGACAGUUCCUGACGCUGAGGCGCGAAGGCCAGGGGAGCAAACGGG